UUUGAGACAAAUCUCAUGUAUCUAAGGCUGGCUAGAACUCAUUCCGUAGUCCAAGCUGGUCUUGAACUCUUGAUUCUUCUGCUUCAACCUCACAAGUGCUGGAAUUACAGGUGUGAGCCGCCUCACCUGCCCUCGUCCUUAUCUACAGGCCAACUUUGGUUUAAAAAACAAAAACAAAAAACUAAAUAACAUCCCCCCGACACCCCCCCCACGGGGGGCCUACUCAAGGACCUGGUGCAAACGAUUGACUUGGGCUCUAUCAAAAUGUACAGUGUUACAGGAUUGUUACUGUUGCGAUCCCGCUCUACAGAUUGCUUUUGUAAGAAGCCUUGAUGGCGGUCAGUAGCUGCAGGGAGGGUUUGAAAGGAAAGGCCUUCAGGAAAGAUAAUGUAGUUCAAAAAACAGGCCCAAGCCAGGAUGUGUAACCAUUUCCAGUUGACAGGUUAACUCUUGAAAUUUCUGCAGUUCAGAUGAACUGUUCCCAUGUGUCUAGUCCUGCCUGGACCCUUUCUUAGCUUAAAGUCCUGACUGUAAGACACUAAGCCUGCAGGAUAGUUCAAAGGACAGCCUAGGGGGCUGUCCUGGGAACCUGAACUGAUUAUUAGUAUCGUGGAAUUGUCCAGAGCCAUUUUCUGGUAGGAAACAGGAAUUACGGAAGCUGCUGCUAAGAGCAGAGGCCAGACUUCUCUCCCUACCCUUCAACAAGCCCCAGGAACCUUCUCAUUGUAUUCCCCUUUUAUUUAAGCUGACUGGGUUGAUCUCCGGGGUCAACAAACAAAGGAAGCUUAUAAAUAUUUAAUCACUAGGCUUGGUGGCACACCUGUCACCCCAGCACCUGAUCUCAGAGGCUGUGUGAGACCUUGGCUCAAAAACCAGGAAAAGUCAACGAUGUGCUUUGAAACUGAAGCAUGUGGCUUGAGUGAGACUAGGAAUCUUCCCCUCCAGUAGAUGACCUGACCCCUGGAUGUGCAACAGCCACAGGCUGCUGCUGCUGCUGCUGCUGCUGAUGAU